rnacentral:rRNA from 1 species
GAUGAACGCUGGCGGCGUGCCUAAUACAUGCAAGUCGAGCGAACAGACGAGGAGCUUGCUCCUCUGACGUUAGCGGCGGACGGGUGAGUAACACGUGGAUAACCUACCUAUAAGACUGGGAUAACUUCGGGAAACCGGAGCUAAUACCGGAUAAUAUAUUGAACCGCAUGGUUCAAUAGUGAAAGACGGCUUUGCUGUCACUUAUAGAUGGAUCCGCGCCGCAUUAGCUAGUUGGUAAGGUAACGGCUUACCAAGGCGACAAUGCGUAGCCGACCUGAGAGGUUGAUCGGCCACACUGGAACUGAGACACGGCCCAGACUCCUACGGGAGGCAGCAGUAGGGAAUCUUCCACAAUGGGCGAAAGCCUGACGGAGCAACGCCGCGUGAGUGAUGAAGGUCUUCGGAUCGUAAAACUCUGUUAUUAGGGAAGAAAAAAUGUGUAAGUAACUAUGCACGUCUUGACGGUACCUAAUCAGAAAGCCACGGCUAACUACGUG